rnacentral:pre_miRNA from 1 species
CGAGUACUCCCUCCGUUCGGAAUUACUUGUCGCGGAAAUGGAUGUAUCUAGACGUAUUUUAGUUCUACAUACAUCCAUUUUCGAGACAAGUAAUUUCGAAUGAAGAGAGUAAUAU